AUCAUUACCGAGUGAGGGCCCUCUGGGUCCAACCUCCCACCCGUGUUUAUUUUACCUUGUUGCUUCGGCGGGCCCGCCUUAACUGGCCGCCGGGGGGCUUACGCCCCCGGGCCCGCGCCCGCCGAAGACACCCUCGAACUCUGUCUGAAGAUUGUAGUCUGAGUGAAAAUAUAAAUUAUUUAAAACUUUCAACAACGGAUCUCUUGGUUCCGGCAUCGAUGAAGAACGCAGCGAAAUGCGAUACGUAAUGUGAAUUGCAAAUUCAGUGAAUCAUCGAGUCUUUGAACGCACAUUGCGCCCCCUGGUAUUCCGGGGGGCAUGCCUGUCCGAGCGUCAUUGCUGCCCUCAAGCACGGCUUGUGUGUUGGGCCCCGUCCUCCGAUCCCGGGGGACGGGCCCGAAAGGCAGCGGCGGCACCGCGUCCGGUCCUCGAGCGUAUGGGGCUUUGUCACCCGCUCUGUAGGCCCGGCCGGCGCUUGCCGAUCAACCCAAAUUUUUAUCCAGGUUGACCUCGGAUCAGGUAGGGAUACCCGCUGAACUUAAGCAUAUCAAUA
rnacentral:rRNA from 1 species